CAGUCGCCACGGGAAUACGUAGGUGGCAAGCGUUGACCGGAAUCAUUGGGCGUAAAGGGCUCGCAGGCGGUUUCUUAAGUCUGAUGUGAAAGCCCCCGGCUCAACCGGGGAGGGUCAUUGGAAACUGGGAAACUUGAGUGCAGAAGAGGAGAGUGGAAUUCCACGUGUAGCGGUGAAAUGCGUAGAGAUGUGGAGGAACACCAGUGGCGAAGGCGACUCUCUGAUCUGUAACUGACGCUGAGGAGCGAAAGCGUGGGGAGCGAACAGGAUUAGAGACCCCAGUAGUCCCUGUCUCUUAUAU
rnacentral:rRNA from 1 species